rnacentral:rRNA from 1 species
UACGUAGGGUGCGAGCGUUAAUCGGAUUUACUGGGCGUAAAGCGUGCGCAGGCGGCCCGUUAAGACAGGUGUGAAAUCCCUGGGCUCAACCUAGGAAUUGCGCUUGUGACUGGCGGGCUCGAGUACGGUAGAGGGGGGUGGAAUUCCUGGUGUAGCAGUGAAAUGCGUAGAGAUCAGGAGGAACACCAGUGGCGAAGGCGGCUCUCUGGCCAGUUACUGACGCUCAUGCGCGAAAGCGUGGGGAGCAAACAGG